AUAGUUCAGAUGAAAAUAAGUAAUACCAAGAGAACCUUACUAGGAAAUGUUUGAGAAUAUGAUAAGAAGUAUCUGAGAGGUUUACAAUCUUGGAAUGAAGGUAAGCCCCACAGUUCUGGUCGCAAAUCAAGUAGAGAGUUGAUCACCUCGUCUGCUGAAUUGAAAAUAUGGGAUUGGUUUGGAAUGGAAGGUACAGCAACCACUUCCAUUCCAGCAGCCUUACCAGCCAUAACACCAGGUCUGACACAAUGCAGUCCCACAAUCAAAAACUGAUAUGGAGCUUUCUUUAUUGCUUUCUAAUCAAAUACAAAAAAUUAUGCCAAUUCCAGAUCCAGUUGAUCAGAAGGAGGAACAAAGAAGAACUAGAUGGAAAUAGAACAUAAAUGUCUUUGGACUAAAAAUCUAGUGAAAUAUUAUUUGUUAAAAGAAAACAAACCUUAGUCCAGAAUCCUCCUAUAAAUAUGUUUAAUCUCAUUCCAAUAUAUCUUUGAUACUUGAUUGGUUGGUCUAAGGUCAUCGACAAAAAUUUUUUGUCGAAGUGAGAUCAUUGUCCAGCUCAACCCCCACCCCCAAAGUUGCUUCUAUUAUUUCUCACAAUAUAUAUCAUCAAGGCAUAGAUGCAAUAAUUCAUUGUUUUUCAACUACUUACUUUUCUUGGGCUGUUAUCCACGGGAAGUUGUCUCUUUGGUUAUUUAAUUAAGUUGCUAAUCUUAUCCUCUUUUAUCCAACAUAGAAAACAUUAACAAAGAAAUAUACAAUCAGACUAAAACAAAAAGAAACAAAGACAUGGCAAAGAUAAUCUCAAUGGGAAGUCAUUUUUAUCAUUCGAUGUCUAGCAAGUAGUCCAGUAUGCUUAUCUUUAUAAUGCUAGAAAGUGUUUCAAAUUCCUAACUAGUAUAUGUUCUUUUUUGUAAAGAAUAUUAUAUAGAAUACUUCUUAUAUGAAUAUAUCAUUGUAAUAUUAUAAUUCCUUAUAGAAUAAGAAAAAUUAUUAAGAAUAUCUUUAUAAAUAUUUUAGAUCAUGCGAGAAAAAGUUUAUAAGAUAGAGAUAGACUUGUGAAGAUGAUAUGUGGUAGAUAGAGAUGUAGGGAAGAAUAAGAAACACCAGAUAGAGCGAGGGGCUUGUGGUUCAAGGUGUGGAUACGGGCAAAUAUGGGAUAUUUCAAAACCUAAUAGUUGUAUCUAGCUUCUAUUCUUUGUAAUAUCCUCUAUGGUAUAGUGAAUGAUUUUUCUCAUCUGUGGAUGUAAGCAGGAUUGGUUGAAACACGUUAAAACCUUGUGUACUUUUAUGUGUGGUUGGUUUUAUCUUUAUGUUAGUAUAUUAACAUCUUUGCAUUAAAGCUUCUAUUAGCCUAACACAUAAAACUUGACAGAUAGAAGCUGCAGUGAUUGAAAAAAAAAAAAGAUGAAUCCAUUUCUAAGAAACUAACUCCAAAUACUGUCCAGCCACCUGGAAAAUGUAUAAAACCAUAAAGACUACUUAAAGGCAGUUCUCUAUUACACAUACAAAGUGCAACUACUUUCAUUUGUUUAGGCAUUAGACUCUCUUCAUUUGUUUAGCAUAUGACAAAGGCACAUUAUUAAGGCUCAUGCAAAUAUAACCCAAAAAUUUGAGCAUAAAUAAUUAAAUAUUCAUACAUCAGAUCUUGUUAUAUUGGAUUUUCUGGAAGCCAGUUUCAUCUUUAUGGAGGAUUGGGCUUUUAAUACUUAAAAGAGAAUGAAGUGUGCAAAUUGAACAAAAUUGGAAUGAGUCCUCAUGCAGCCAUGUUCAUUCCUAAGCUUAGAGAGAAAAUAGAAUUAUGACAAAACAAAUGUUUUUAUAUACCUGAUCAAUAAAUAAAAAGCUUAAAGUUUUUAGGAAAAUAUUUCUAGAAAAAUGUUAGAAAAUUUCCCAUUUCAAAAUUAAUAAUAUAUUUUGCGAUUGAUAUGGCAGCAAAAAACAAGGGACACAUAUACAAAGUUCAGAACUGAACUCUCUGUACCUUGAGAAUGACCAAAGUAGAUUGUAAAGAAGGAAUCAAAUUGGAAUUUAUGGAGAUUAAUGGCUUUGCAGACUUAAAACUUUCCAAAUAAAAGCUGAUUGAUUGUUACUUGAUAUGCUUCAUAUGCUUAUUGUUUGCUACAAGUUAGAAUGUGGCGAGUGUUUUUGUAGUAAGCAUCCACACGACCUAUUUCAAGAAACUGUCCAUACGUCAACUAAAUGGAACCACUUCUCAAGUCCCAAUUUAUUCCUUCCAUGCAGUUUUUAGAGAAAACUGGGCAUUUUACUCUUGAAAGACAUACUAGUAUACCAUUUAAACAGAGAUCUGUCGCUGAAGAGCUGUGCCCAGAUGCUAUUAUAAAAGAAUAAAUUCAAAUCUGCAAUGGAUUAAAAAUUUAAGAUACUUACAGUGAAUCUUCAAUGACGAGGCAGUUGGAAGGUUUGACACUUAGCCUUUUUGAUGCUUCAAAAAAUCUUAAAUAAGCAAAACCCACAAAGUUAGAAUUUCAGAAGACUGAGAAUUUAUGUUUUAUUUAGACGAUAAAUAUUCACCAAAGUCAAGCUCAAGCAAUGAGUUGUUGCAUCUCACAUUUCAGGAGAUGGCUUCCCCAUUCUGACUUCAUCACCUCCAAUUAUAACAGAGAAGGAUUCUUUCCAACCUAUAAAUGAAAGAGCAUGAACAAAUAAGGUUGGCAAUAAAAAACAUGAACCAUAAGAUUCCCUUAUUCAUAUCUCACUUCCAGUAGAUUAUUCUCAGAUAAGGAUGCUAAAACCUACCCUGAUGGCAAGAUAUUUUUGAUUCUAUGGAUGCCCUUGGAGAGUUUGAAGCCAAUGCUAUUGGCACACCAUGACCAUGCAAAUGUUUAAUUAAUCGAUUGGCACCUGGAAGAGCCUUAAUAUUGCACCACCUACAGUGAAAAUGGUAGCACCACAUUCAGCAAACUGUCACACAGGUUCCUACUAAGCGAGCACAGAAAGCAGUAUGUAAAACACUAAUGGCUCUAUUAUUAUAAUCUGGGAACCUAUUUAGAUAUAAAUUAUGCAAAUAAUUUCUAUAUCAGAAUGCAAUAGCUGAAAGCCUUUGAUACAUUAAAAGUAUAUUUUUAAACAAAGAAAUGAAUAUAGCAUACAUUAUAUAACAUAUGGUUUCUAAAAUCCACUAAAAUCAGCAACAUCAAGGAGAUCAAUUUGAGCCCUUUGCUUUGAUGUCAAGGACAAACUCCACUUGAAACAAUGUUAGACAGCAUUACUGUAGCAAGAAUAUCCCACUAGCAUGAAAACAAUAAAGAAUAACUAUGGAAAACACAAGAAAAUAAAGAUUGAAUUCCUACGAUUUGCAACAAAAAUAAGAUUACAAAUCAUAGGGAUUAGCUAAAAUUUUAACAAAAAUUAGUAGAGAAGCUAAGGAUCAGGCAAGGUCAUCACUCUCAUUGGAUUUAAAUCUUCUAUAUGUUUUUCCAAGAUCUCUUACUUGUCUAAUAUGAAGAGAAUUGUUCUGGAACUUCUCCCACAUUUAUGGAUUUUCAUUUUUUCUUAGCUGACACUAAUCUUAUGUUUUAGCACCUGCAUGCUUUUGAUACAAAAAAUAAAAAUAAAAUAAUGUGAGAUAAGGGGAGUAAGGAAAAACAAAAGGAAAAAGAAGUUAAAUAUGUUGAUUAAAAAGCAUCUAUCACUCAUCAACAAGAAAAUUUCCAGUUGGGGUGGGAUUAGAAUGCUCUAAGUUUUAGUUCAUAAAUACAACACAGGUGGAAGCCCCUAUGCUUUGGCUAUCAACAUUGCAACAAGUUUGCAGUUGGAAUACAGUAUCCAAACUUGUAUUACACAUCCAUACCCAAAAUUCAGAAGACUUCACCUUUGCCACUGCUGAUUCCUAGACAAGUUAACAACUACCAACUUGAAUCACUUGAAUCAAUACACACUAAGAUUUCUGGAAUUUGAAUUAAGAUCCUCCUAAUUUAAAUUAUUCUGAUCCAUAUCCUUAAUUCUGAAAUAAAAGGAAAUGUAUAAGUUACUUACUGAUUGGAGAACAUUGGGGUAAUUUCUGACAUAAGUUCUUCAGUUGUGCAAGGGAGCCCAUAGUCUUCCACAAUAACAGCUGCAGCUUCAAAAGGUGUCUUUCCAAUUAACUUAUGAGCCACUUUCCCAUUCCAUUGCUUUUCAUACUUAACCAGGAAAACUUUUAAGACUUCACUCACAAUGCCAUCUGCAAUAAAAUUGAAAGUAAACUAUAAUCUACAUGCAUCCAUUUAAUCUAAUAGUGGAAAAGAAGCAUAACGAAAUGAAGAUGAAGAUUAAUGGGAAGAGCACAACUUCACCUGUGUUAAGAAGGGUGCCAUCCAAAUCAAGGAUAACACCAGAGACUAACUUCUUUAGAGGCUUUGCUGCAGACAUUUUGAAUACCAAACAAGGACUUUCAACAGAGAUUAUGCGGCCAUUCUAUAGCUGAAGAAAAAUAGAGAUGAAUAAGAUUAAAAGAGGAGACUGAGGCAAUGGAAUCCCACCAGUGUAGAAGAAAGGAGAAAAUGUAUUUUAUGGAUCAGAGCUGAACCCAAUUUGGAAUUCCAAUUCCAUGGAAUACCAACACCAUGUUUUGCCUUUUUCUUUAUGUUCCGUACAUUUCUUCAGCUUUCAAAAGUUUAAGUAGCUAAAUUACCUCAACUGAUAUUUCAAAACUCCAAUUCAGAAAUGCUCCAGCAUGUACUUGUAGAGUCUGCAAUGAAGAAUGCACAAUGUAAUUGAAAUCGUGAAAAGGGUGUCAAGGCACCCAACAUUUGACACAUAUUUUAUGUUUUCCUGAAGCCAAACAUGAGAAGAGAGAAGGAGCCCCUUACAUGGAUAUGAAAUUGUUGCCCAAAAAGAUGAUGUUGUCAUGAGAGAGAAAAGGAGCAUACCAACCCAAAGCGCUUACAGAGAUAGGUAGUUUUGAACAGGGCCUGCAUUAUUGUAAGGACCUAUACACAUCACAUAUGGAUAAAUUGAUUUGAAUAGGGUCUUUCUAGAGACUGAGAAAUCAAGGAGCAAUAAUGUGUCAGCAUGUGAUUGACGUGAAGUGGAUGUUAUGUAGUCCUUGGAUGGGCUCCUUCAACUCUUUGCUAUUAUAAUAUUGGGGAUUCAAUUUCACUCCCCACUUCAGUCUUUCCUAUUCCACCAUUUUUUUAUUUUUAUGUUUUAAAUCAAAAUGAACAUGUAGACAAAGAUAUACAAUUGUUCUCAUGUUUUUCCUCCAAUCAAACCUCGCCCAAAAACCUACAUCCCUCCUCUUUUCACUUUUUAUUUUAUUUUCAUUUUUUAAUUUAAAGUGUAGAAGAAGAUGAUAUAAUGAAAACAAAAUGGAAGGAAAAGAAUGCUCACUUUAAUUUAAAGGAGAUUCUUACAUUAUUAAAGAGGUGUCAUAUUGAAAAUCAAUACUGUCAUCAUAUUAUAUAUACCUUAGUCGUUUUUUUUCAUCCAAACUACAUUUUUGUACUCCUAUUCAUGCUAGAAAAUUAGUAGAACCCUAAAAAGACAAACCUGAGACACUCCUCAUUUCACGAAAUAGCAUCACUACAGACAAAUCCUAAUUUUUCAUCAUUCAGAAAUCAGAAUACCAUAAAACAUGAAUUUGGGAAAAUCAAACAAGAUAAACAAUCUUCGUUUUCCCUUUCCUCCACUUUCCAGCUACCAAACGAAAAAUCCCAACUUAUCAACAACCAAAACAAAACAGAAUCUAAAAUUAAGGGAAAAAAAAGAACUCCUCCUUUGCGCCACCCCCCACAACCAAGGAGAAAAUCAGCAACAUAACACAUAUUUCACAUUCCUUCCUUCUCUCAUCGGCAAUCAAACAGAAUUUACCCACUGACCUGAGAUGAUACUUGGCAUCCUCAUCCUACCGGCCAGAAGAGAGACGGCCAUCAUAAAAUCCAUAAGCAUCUUGAUCGUUGCAGAUAUGCGCAUAUAAAGGAAUCUUUGAAGGUAUCAAUCGAUGAUUGGCGGAGCAACCAAGCACCUGGGCGUUUAGAAGGAAAAAGGGUCAUUCCAACUAAAAGAAUAAUUUUGUGUGGGAAAAAUCUUAGAUAAAUACGGAUACGAAAUAGAUUUUAUAAAUUUUUUAUUUUAGAUUUUAUUUAGUGUUCAUAAAAUUAAUUUUAUUUGAAAACUAUGUAGAUGUUAAAAAAAUAAUUUUUUUUAUAAUUUUAUAUUUAAAAUUUUUUCAAUGGUAGUUUAUCUUGUUUUGAUUUUAUAAUUUUUUUUUUUAAUAUUUAGAUUUUUAGGUUUAAUUAACUAGAUAUUAAUUUACAAAUGAUUAUGUAAAGCAUGAUUUUAAACAAAAGAGAAACAAUAAAAAGUCAUUGUCAAUUAAUUUUUAUUUAUAAAUUUUUUAUAUUAAUUGAUUCCUUAAUUGAAUUUUAAAUUGCUUUUUAAAAAUUAUUAGAUUUGUUAAUAAUUUAAAUGUCUUAAGUUUUACUUUAUUUGAAAUUUAUUUACAGAAAAAUAUAAUUUCAUAUAAAAAAAACUAAUAAAGUAAUUCAUAAUAAAUUUUGAAUGAUUUUGAUAAAAACAUGCCUAAUUAAGAAAGAAAUCAUAUUUGAUGCUUUUGAUAUUACUUAGUGAAAAGAGAACAGGAAAAGAAAUAGCUCCCAUUAUAUUUUAUUUAUUUUUUAUGAUUUUUUUUAAGUUAUAUUUUUAUUUGUUUUUCAUGUUUUCUUUUUAUUUUUAAAAGGGACUGAAAAUAACAAUCCACUCAUAUUUUAUUGAAUUUAUUUUUAAAAACUAAUUUUCAUUUAAAGAAUAAAAAAACUAAUUUCAGAAAACAAAGUCAAACAUACUCAUAUUUAAAAAAAAAUAAAAAUAACUUUUACUUAUUCUUUAAAAAUUGUUUUCAAAAAACAAUAACAGUUUUCCCUUUACAUAAAGCUGUUUUAAAAUCAUAUCAACAAACACGGUCUUAUUUUUUUAAAACUAUUUCUAGACCACAACCAUCAAACAUGCCCUUAAAUUUAAAAAAUAAACCGUUUUCAUUGAUACCUGUUUUUAAAUCAUACUGACAAUCACACUAAAAAGAUUUAUUUUAUUUGGCUGUUUAUGAAAAAAUUAAGGAAAUUAAAUUAAAUUUACUAGAAAUCCACUCUCUUCAAACCUUUUUUCAUAUUUUCUUUUAAAAAUAGAGAUGAAAAUCUUUUAGUAUUUUCUCCCUCUAAACAUAGACUACAUGAUAAAGUUACCUUCUAGAACACCAGCAAGCACUAAGAAAACAAAGUUAGUAACCAAUUCUUGACCUAGCUAAGAGAAAAGAACCACUGCAUUUGGGGAGGCUCUUGGGAAGCUUAACAAGCUUUGAGCUGAAUUUAGUGAGCUCCACCGCGAUCUAGACUGAGAAUCCUUUUUGGCACAGAUCUCCACCUUUUCCAGCAUCCUUGCAUUCUUAAGUAGAAAUUUUACCAGUCCAAACACAAGUUCAAUUCCAGGCUGGUUCCAGAUAACGCCAAUAAUCUUGACAGUCUUGAGAUUUAUCAAUGAAUUAGCUAAUACCCCCUCCCUUGAGCUCCAGUAUUUCUCUUCAUCAAAAUUGUGAAGGUCGGUGAAGCUGAAGCCUACCUCUACAGAAAUCUGAAGAGAAGGAUAAUGUUAGGUUCGAAAUCUUUUAAGUGUGUCCUGAAGCAAAAAGAAAGCGAGAGGAAGCAUAAGAACAAAAAGGAAAAUUCAUUCUAAACAAAACUUUUUUAAGUAGAAAACAUCAAGGAUUUGUAGUUACAGAAUCCUUUCUCUGAUCAGUCUCCUUAAAGGCCACCUAGAACUUAGCUUCUAGGAAUCACCUCAAGAUAGAUCAAUUCAAGUCAUUGAANNNNNNNNNNNNNNNNNNNNNNNNNNNNNNNNNNNNNNNNNNNNNNNNNNNNNNNNNNNNNNNNNNNNNNNNNNNNNNNNNNNNNNNNNNNNNNNNNNNNAGUCCUGAACUGGUGGCAGAAAUGAUAGGCUCUAUGAGGAGGAACAUCGAACCUAAUCACAGGCCAAGAAUAUUCUUCUUCCACCUGCUUUGCUUCAUUUCCAAUUUCUUCAGCUUCAUCGCCCAAAUUAGGCUGUUCCUCCUCUCCCUCUUCCAUUGCCUCUGUUACUGACAUUUUUUUUAUAUUCAAGAUUUGCUUUUACCGCCAAAUGAAGUGUUGUGAGCUUCCACCCCCGAGCGCUGCUGUCGCGAGGCUGUCUUCCACAGAGGCUUUCGUUUGCCAAUUAAUAUGAUGAUUAUUUAAUAAAUAAAUAAAAAAUAGUGCUCAGAAUGCAAAUUUUUGGCCAAUGAGGCCGAGUUACGUCAGACGGGGGCCUAGGCCCACGUGAGUCCUUUCUAGGGUCUGUGAGGUUUAGGGUCCGUUCAGCUGCAACUGCUGAUAAAAUGCCUCAAGAUUUUUAAUAAUUCAGAUAUUUUAUAUUUAACAUAGUGUGAUGAUGCAUGUGCUUUUAGAAAAUAUUUUUAAUAUAAAAAAUAUUUUUGAAGAAAAAAAUCAGAUGUUUAUCAAAAUUUAAAGUGUAUUUUAAAAGGUUGAAAAAUCAAUUUUGGUACUUUUUUUAUAAAGCCAUUAUAAAUGAUUUUAUUUUAUUAAAAAACAUAUUUAGAGAACAUUCUAAAUUUUAAAUAGAAAGUUCUUAAAUAUUUAUGGUAUAAUAUUAUAGAAUUAGGUAGUGUUUGUUUUUUUACUUAAUUCUAAAUAAAAUCUUAAUGCUUAAUAGUGUUAAAUAUUAUGUUGUUUAUUUUUAUAGUAUUUUAUUUCUAUUAGAAAAAAUUACAUAUUUUGGUUUUUUUUAUUUAGUAAAAAAUUUAUAAUAAAUCAUAAAUAAAAAAUAAAAAAACAAUCUAAAUUUUGAAAACAAAUUAUUUUCAACAAAAAACAAAAAAAACAAAUAUCACCUAGCCGUUUUUAAAAUUUAGACAACUCAAGAUAUUUGAUGUUGUUAAAUCAAUCUUGCCUUCAUACUUAACUUGCAAGGCUAAGUAAUGCAUAAAACUUGGAAAUUAUGAUGAAAACGAAAGGCAAUUUAAGAAAUGAAGAUAGUAUUGCACAAAAAAAUUUUACUAUACUUAGAAAGCUCUCAAUUGCUUGGUGUCUUGGUCAAAUAUAAUCAUUACUUAUUUAUAGGCAACCAAGAAACUCUAUAAAACUCACAAAGGCUCUUUAUAUUUCCAGAAUUAUCUAGAAACUUCUUAACAAAGGUUAUAUACGAGUAUUAAUGAGACUUGUCUAGAACUCUCUAAAUAGUUUCAUACUUUUCUUUUUAUUGUCUUUCACCUUAAUGUAGAAAUGUGUGGACAUCUCUAAGUUUCUCUAAAACUUUCCACACUCCACUAAUGUAGAUGACUCCAAGAAACUUAGAAAACUUCUUGUUUUUCUAUAUAACCUCAAGAAGGUACAUUUGAGCAAGUUAUAACAAUAAACUCCUUUUUUAAGCCUCUCAAACAACCCAACAUGAUAUCCAUUGAUAAAGAUUCUUCAUACUUUGUUAUUAGUGCUUUCCAAUUCACAAAAAAAUCUUUCUUUUUGUGAAUUAGCAAAAGGGUCCUUUCGUAAAUUGCCAAUUAGGAAAUUGGCACGAAGCUGGCUAUACGCUCCCUUCUUCUACUAAUGUGCAGCGAUGAAGCAGGUUGUAUGUUGGUAAGGAGAGUGAGCGGGGAGCUCACAGCCUCACACAAGUGAAGAACACCAAUCAUUUCACUAUAUUUAUCUCAUUAUCUUUGUUUGUUUGUUUGGAUUUUUUUUUUAAUCAUUCUCUCAAGAAACACUCUCUUCUAGAGAAAAUAUUGAAAAUAUUUCAACUAAACAAGAGCAUUCUGAUACCUCUUGUUCGUUAUUCAUUUCCCAAUAUUUAUGCCAUCAACUUUAUUUAUUUUUAAAAAGUAAUAGUGACGCAAUGACACUGAGAUUGAGAAGAGACCAAUGGAAGAAACGCUAAUGAAACUCUUUGCAAACGUGUGGUGUCUCUUCCACCAUAUAUAGACAAACAUGAUAGUGGUUUGAUAUUUCCUUCACUUCUAAAUGCGAAUAUAAAUACUGGAUCUCUUCCAACAUUAAUUUGCCCUCCAUUGUGUUCUCAUGGUAUUUUAGCAUCAAGUCUCAUCAAAAUAAGAGAAUAUUAGGGUCACAAUCAUUUUCCUUUCAACUGAUAUCUCUCAGUUUAAGAAUGAUUUUCGACCCCAUGCAAGGGGAUUUUCAAGUAGGGGUCAUCCUUGAAGUUUGAGUACAAGGGAAGAUCAAGAGCUCUUUCUGCAAUUCUCCUAUCCUCAUGAAUCUUUGCUAUCAGGCUCUCAAGGGAUGAAAAAUUGGCCUGUUGCAUGAAAAGUACAAAAAUCAGUAACAUAAUAUUUAAAAAGUCAGGACUUGGGUAAGGAGGCUGCUGAUUGAUUACUAAUACCUCAGGUCGUAUGUAGCCAACAAUGACAAGAUGUAAUUCCUCACCAUAGAAAUCCUCAUCAAAUUCGUGAAGCAGCCAUGGCUCCUAAAAUUGUAAAUGGGAUUUAGAAAAACAGAGAGAAAAAAUAUUUGGAAGGUCCACCUUUACAGUCCAAGUUGCACUCACUAUAGUUUUCUCGGUGUUGUUGAAAUAUGGAUUCCAGCCAAUGCUCAUCACCAUCUUGUAGACACCCUGUUUUGAUAAUCCAGCCCAACCGAAAUAUACUCCAGAGGAUUGUUCAGAAAGAAGAGUUGAAUAGCCCUCGGUGGAUAAAUUAGCUGAAAGGAUGAAGUUAUGGGUGAUUUCAAUAAUUAAAAAGAACUUGAAACUGCUAUCUUGUAGAAAGAAAAAUGCCAAACAUUCUUAAUAGCCUUACAUUCAUUAUUGUAACAACAAACCCUAUUCAUGCAAUUGGUCAAUAAAUAAAUAAUAUCAGUUUCCAAAUAUGAUUUGUGUUUUUGACCCUUAUAUAUAUAGCCUACUGAUUGCGCUUGCAUUUCUUCAGAUUGUGUUCAGUUGACAACAAUGGCCUUGAAGUGGUUCCUAAGUUCUGUAUCUGUUUAACUGAUGGAAGGAUCAUAAAAGGAAAUAGACUAAAUGGAGAUAAAACAUAGAGAAAAAAAUUACUAAUAAUCCUAAUUCCACCCAACCAAAGUCAUAAUGUAGAAUAUUGAGUCACAUCAUCAACAACUAUAGAACAACUAUAUAAGAGCUAAAAUUAACAACCUAGAAUGAAUCAACAAAAGCACAUUGUAAUUAAAGCAAGCUACAAGGACUUGUGCAAUUCAACACCAAGCACAUCCAAAGGUCAAAGAAAUGUCCAUAGGAAUUUAGCUUAUCUAGGCAAAGGUAUUGGAGAAAGUCAGAGAAAAUCACGAACCUGUUGGGACUCCAAGUACCUUUGACCCACGACCAAAUCCCUUAAUGACAGGCCCACCUAUAUACCAAGGCUCUACUGGUAAGGUAUCCUCGACCCCUGCAGUUACAAAUCAAUAGUUCAGAUGAAAAUAAGUAAUACCAAGAGAACCUUACUAGGAAAUGUUUGAGAAUAUGAUAAGAAGUAUCUGAGAGGUUUACAAUCUUGGAAUGAAGGUAAGCCCCACUGUUCUGGUCGCAAAUCAAGUAGAGAGUUGAUCACCUCGUCUGCCGAAUUGAAAAUAUGGGAUUGUUUUGGAAUGGAAGGUACAGCAACCACUUCC
rnacentral:lncRNA from 1 species